ACUAUCAAAUUAUAAAACAGAUGAAAUUUUCAAUGGUAAAUACAUAUUGGUGGUGGCGUCUUUUACAACUCGAUGAGUCGUGAAGGAGCAUUGCUUUAUGUAUUAUAUUAAUUGAACAUUAAACGUAUACAACGAGCCUUGUC
rfam:Bacteroides coprosuis DSM 18011 chromosome, whole genome shotgun sequence.